GGCUCAGUAACGCGUAGUCAACCUAACCUAUGGACGGGAAUGACCUCGGGAAACUGAGAAUAAUGCCCGAUAGAACACUAUAUCUGGAAUGGUUUGUGUUCCAAAUGAUUUAUCGCCGUAGGAUGGGACUGCGGCCUAUCAGUUUGUUGGUGAGGUAAUGGCCCACCAAGACUAUUACAGGUACGGGCUCUGAGAGGAGUAGCCCGGAGAUGGGUACUGAGACACGGACCCAGGCCCUAUGGGGCGCAGCAGGCGAGAAAACUUUGCAAUGUGCGAAAGCACGACAAGGUUAAUCCGAGUGGUUUGUGCUAAACGAACCUUUUGUCGGUCCUAGAAACACCGAUGAAUAAGGGGUGGGCAAGUUCUGGUGUCAGCCGCCGCGGUAAAACCAGCACCUCAAGUGGUCAGGAUGAUUAUUGGGCCUAAAGCAUCCGUAGCCGGCGCUGUAAGUUUUCGGUUAAAUCUGUACGCUCAACGUACAGGCUGCCGGGAAUACUGCAGCGCUAGGGAGUGGGAGAGGUAGACGGUACUCGGUAGGAAGGGGUAAAAUCCUUUGAUCUAUUGAUGACCACCUGUGGCGAAGGCGGUCUACCAGAACACGUCCGACGGUGAGGGAUGAAAGCUGGGGGAGCAAACCGGAUUAGAUACCCGGGUAGUCCCAGCUGUAAACUAUGCAAACUCAGUGAUGCAUUGGCUUGUGGCCAAUGCAGUGCUGCAGGGAAGCCGUUAAGUUUGCCGCCUGGGAAGUACGUACGCAAGUAUGAAACUUAAAGGAAUUGGCGGGGGAGCACCACAAGGGGUGAAGCCUGCGGUUCAAUUGGAGUCAACGCCGGA
rnacentral:rRNA from 1 species